GCAGAAUUGGCUGGGCCCAUAUUCCAUACAACAAAUUACAAGGUAGGCUCUCCUAGCUUGAGAAGACCUUGGGGCAUCCCUCCAAGAAUUGCAAUGCAGGACAGUUCUGGAUCAUGACCCUCAUUGAUCACUCAUACACCCCGUCCAGGUGAGUGA
rnacentral:snRNA from 1 species